CACGUAGGGUGCGAGCGUUGUCCGGAAUUAUUGGGCGUAAAGGGCUCGUAGGUGGCCAACUAAGUCAGACGUGAAAUCCCUCGGCUUAACCGGGGAACUGCGUCUGAUACUGGAUGGCUUGAAUUCGGGAGAGGGAUGCGGAAUUCCAGGUGUAGCGGUGAAAUGCGUAGAUAUCUGGAGGAAUACCGGUGGCGAAGGCGGCAUCCUGGACCGGCAUUGACGCUGAGGCGCGAAAGCUAGGGGAGCAAACGGGG
rnacentral:rRNA from 1 species